rnacentral:rRNA from 1 species
UACGGAGGGUGCAAGCGUUAUCCGGAUUCACUGGGUUUAAAGGGUGCGUAGGCGGGUUGGUAAGUCCGUAGUGAAAUCCCCAAGCUUAACUUGGGAACUGCCGUGGAUACUAUCAAUCUUGAAUAUCGUGGAGGUAAGCGGAAUAUGUCAUGUAGCGGUGAAAUGCUUAGAUAUGACAUAGAACACCAAUUGCGUAGGCAGCUUACUACACGAUCAUUGACGCUGAGGCACGAAAGCGUGGGGAGCAAACAGG